AUUGAACGCUGGCGGCAGGCCUAACACAUGCAAGUCGAGCGGAUGAAGGGAGCUUGCUCCUGGAUUCAGCGGCGGACGGGUGAGUAAUGCCUAGGAAUCUGCCUGGUAGUGUGGGAUAACGUCCGGAAACGGGCGCUAAUACCGCAUACGUCCUGAGGGAGAAAGUGGGGGAUCUUCGGACCUCACGCUAUCAGAUGAGCCUAGGUCGGAGUAGCUAGUUGGUGGGGUAAAGGCCUACCAAGGCGACGAUCCGUAACUGGUCUGAGAGGAUGAUCAGUCACACUGGAACUGAGCCACGGUCCAGACUCCUACGGGAGGCAGCAGUGGGGAAUAUUGGACAAUGGGCGAAAGCCUGAUCCAGCCAUGCCGCGUGUGUGAAGAAGGUCUUCGGAUUGUAAAGCACUUUAAGUUGGGAGGAAGGGCAGUAAGUUAAUACCUUGCUGUUUUGACGUUACCAACAGAAUAAGCACCGGCUAACUUCGUG
rnacentral:rRNA from 1 species